rnacentral:rRNA from 1 species
GACGUAGGAUGCGAGCGUUGUCCGGAUUUAUUGGGCGUAAAGAGUUCGUAGGUGGUUCGUUAAGUCUGCUGUGAAAGUCCAGGGCUCAACCCUGGAAGGCCGGUGGAAACUGUCGGGCUAGAGUCCGGAAGAGGCGAGUGGAAUUCCCGGUGUAGCGGUGAAAUGCGCAGAUAUCGGGAGGAACACCAAUGGCGAAGGCAGCUCGCUGGGACGGUACUGACGCUGAGACGCGAAAGCGUGGGGAGCAAACAGG